rnacentral:tRNA from 1 species
GUCCCCAUAGCUCAAUGGACAGAGCAACGGCCUUCUAAGCCGUUUAUCGAGGUUCGACUCCUCGUGGGGACG